CCUACGGGAGGCAGCAGUGAGGAAUAUUGGUCAAUGGGCGCGAGCCUGAACCAGCCAAGUAGCGUGAAGGAUGACUGCCCUACGGGUUGUAAACUUCUUUUAUAAAGGAAUAAAGUGAGGCACGUGUGCCGUUUUGUAUGUACUUUAUGACUAAGGAUCGGCUAACUCCGUGCCAGCAGCCGCGGUAAUACGGAGGAUCCGAUCGUUAUCCGGAUUUAUUGGGUUUAAAGGGAGCGUAGAUGGGUUGUUAAGUCAGUUGUGAAAGUUUGCGGCUCAACCGUAAAAUUGCAAGUGAUACUGGCAGUAUUGAGUACAGUAGAGGUAGGCGGAAUUCGGGGUGUAGCGGUGAAAUGCUUAGAUAUCACGAAGAACUCCGAUUGCGAAGGCAGCUUACUAAACUGCCACUGACAUUGAUGCUCGAAAGUGUGGGUAUCAAACAGGAUUAGAUACCCGAGUAGUC
rnacentral:rRNA from 1 species